rnacentral:ncRNA from 1 species
UUUGUGUUGCCGCGCUGAGACGCCCCCUGGAAGGGAUCAGCGUGGUGAUGGUGGCGAUCUCCGCCCUUGCAGGGGCGGUAUGGCCGAUUGAGCGUUCGGCGUCCAGGAGUUGGCCCUCCCGGGCGCCGUCG